GCAGGGCUCUUGCCUAGCUCUCCGGGGGAAGGGUCAGGCAGAGUGGAACCUCCUGUUCAGGGCUGGCAAGGUCCAGACUGGAGCUGUCACACAACCCCAUGAGAGCACCUCAGAGAAUGUGCGGCAGGCAGCAGGACCCCCUCCUUCUCUGUUCUUCAGAUGCUACAAAUACAAGAUCGCAGACUCCAGGACUGAAGCCUGAUCCUGGUCUCCUGGCAUUUGUGGAGGACUCUUAAUUAGGUGCAUAUGAGGUUAUGAGGAGGGAGCCCCUGUGAUGGGGGAUCAGUGCCUUCCAGAAGAGGAAGCAGCUGGAGUCUCCCUCUAUCAUGUCAGGACACAGUGAGACAGUAGCUCUCUGUAAUCCUGGAAGAGCCCCUACCAGUUGCAACACAGGGUGUCACCUUGAUCUUGGGCUCCCCAGCCUCCAGAACCGUGAGGAAUAAAUGUGACUUGAGCGGCUGGCUCUUGAGUGCUUUGUUUCAGUCGUCUGAGUUCAUGUUGGUCUUCAGGAAGAACAUUUGAUACUGGCUUUUGGACAUAUAUUCAAGGAACAAAACAGAACCAUACAUGUCUGUAGGAACUAUGGAGCCAAGACAGUGUCAUCGCUGCACUGUGAAAAGACAUGGACAAGUACUGAAGAAACUGGCAUGACACCAUCAGUUCCACUGACACAGACAAGAGACAAUCGGCAAGCCAGGCUCAGACAGUUUUAGAGGAUGGUGACAUCCAGGGAGCACAGUGGAGGUAUGGGUGACAGAAAAGGGUAGAGGCCAGUGAGCAGCCAAUGCGGGCUGAAGAAGAAACAUGGGGGGGGGAGGUUAGUGAGGAGUCUAGCCUUGUAAGCAGUGCGCUGAAUGGCAAAGCUGGAACUGAGCGCUGAUCUGGCCAAAGCACUGCUCCCUGACAUCCCCACGGCUCUCUGGAACUCAGGCUUAAAUGCAACGCUCUGGAGCAGUGUGUGUUUCUAGCUUCUGCAUUCCCUGCCCCCCCCCAUCCCGACACCACUGGACCCCAAAGUCUCAAGUCCUACGUCUUUUUCACAUAAGUGAGGGUGGACAGCUGGACAGUAUGGCCUCCCAAGUGGCCGUGGGAAGGGGCUAUGCUGUCUGCUCCCCUCAGUCUUCUGCCCACUGUGAAAUCCACAUCAGCUGGAGAUGCCCACGAUGUCUGUUUCCAUCUGUUCUCGUUCUGGCUGGUGAGAAAGGCUCAGAAUUGGAGAGGCCAGUGGGGUGGGGGUGGGGGGACAGGAAGGACCCACUGCAAAGGCAUGCUCAGCCUGCCCCGGGAACAGCUGCCCUGGAGGCUCCCCGCUUCCCGGCAGUUCUCCAAUCGCCCGUUUUGUAGCCGGGCUGCUAAUGAUGCAAUUAAGUUCAUCAGGAGAACAUCUGUUCUGAAUGAUCGGACCACUGGCUGCCCUCUGAGGGAGGCUGGACUCAAGCAACUAAAAAACUAGGAGCCAGGGGCCUCAAAACCAGCCCUGCGAUUUUAUCGGUCAUCUCCAAACUAAACCGCAAGUAUCCUUGGAGACUCUGCCGGCAUCUGAGGACAGAGGUGUGUUUAUGCCACGGUCCAUGAGUCUCAGGGCACCAACAACACCGCCCCUCAGAUGCUCCUUUCAACUCUGGAGACUGGGGUACCCUCCUGAGCAAGCACCACAGGGGCUGCUGUUACGCUGCUUUAGCAGUUUCCUCUGCUUCUGGCCUAGAGACAAAGGCUCGCAUACAGAUGUUUGUUCUGGGUCAACCGUAGGCUCAGAAGUGAAGAAGUAUGGGACUGAGACAGAGGAGAGACAUGUGAGGAAUAGUUGCUGAGCAGCUACCCUGGGGGGUUGGGGGGCGGAGAAGCAGGGCCUGGUACCUUGAGAACUUCUGAAGAACUCUGAGAAAUUUACCCGAGAGCUGUCCACCCCAUAAGUGAAAGAGGAAAGCGUUAACCUAAAGGCAUCUGUCCUCUUGAAGAUGUUCAAGAGCGAGUGUCACUCUCACACCGGUCAGAGCAGGAGCCGUGUGUGCUGUCACCCCAAGGCAGGGCGCUGGUAUGGUCUUCAGGCUGCUGAGCUGCCUCCUGGCUGCAGGAAGAGAGAGAUGGCAGGAUCCUGAUACCAGGGCUCUGUCUUGGGAAUCCAGGGCACAGACUACACCUGUGCUCCCAUACUACACCUUGGAUUCUCCUGGCACUAACCUUCUGUUCACACCCUAUCGCUUCUGUGGCAUAUUACUACAAAUUAACAGCUUGAAGCAACACUAAUGUGUGUGUGUGUGUGUGUGUGUGUGUGUGUGUGUGUGUAAAACACUAAUAUAAUAUAAUACAUAUUAUAUAUUGAACACUAAUAUAUACUAUUGCAGAAUAUAUAAAUGUAUUAUAAUAUAACAUAUGGUAUAAUAAUUCAUUAUAUUAUAUAUAACUUUAUAUUUUACAUAUAUAACAUAUAUUGGAGAUAUUAUAUAUAAAUAAAAUAUAUUAAUAU
rnacentral:lncRNA from 1 species